AAAGAAUUAGUUUAAAAAAUAUUAGUAUGUCAUACUAAAGAUAUUAGUUUAUUGUCUAAUAUUCUUUU
rnacentral:tRNA from 1 species